UAUGUACAUUUGAAAAUACGUUUUUGGAAACUAAUCUAAAGUAGGCUUGAGAAGUAAUUACUGUAUAACCAAAAAAUAACCAAUAUUGUCGCAUCAUCGCUUAUUUGAUCAGAGAUAACGUCAAAGAUAACAUCAAAUUAAACAAUACAGCUUUUCCAAAACACACAACAAAUUGAUUUCACAUCACAAGCUGUACGAGGGUGUAUCUUAUUCGCGGUUACGAGGGAGAUUCCGAUGCGUGUGCUGCGGGUGAUAAUGUUGGAAGGACUGACUGGCCGGGCGUAAUUUCGCUCAUGCGCUAACCGCCUGUCGUAAACUGGUCGGCGCAAUCCAUUCUUUUACUUGUUCCAUUUUGCCUUUAAAUCGAGGAAAUGGCACACGUUUUCAAUAACUAAG